AACCUCGGCCUCCAGGCUCAGGUGAUCCUCCCACCUUACCCUCUUGAGAACACCCACUUUAUGCAUAGCUCCCUAAUCAGGAAGUUAUUCUUCCCAUCAAAGCAACUGGAAAGAAAAAAGAUAAAACAAUGAAGGGAGGAGAAAACACAAAAGUUCAAGAAGAGCAGAAUGUUCCGGCAAGGAGAAAAAGCUGGGAAAAGUCACCAAUGAAUGCCAGGGUUCACCACUAUCUUAGGAAUAUCAUGAAUAAAGCGUUAGAUUGGGUGUGCCCUAACUGAUGGUCACAAGCAUGAUACUAAUUAUCAGGGUGAACAAAGCAGGGGAGUAAGAGCAUCAGUAACUGUGAAACUCUAGGAGUUUGUCUUCAUUCUUUCAGUGAUAGGUACUGAGUGUUUCCCAUGUGUCAUACCCUAUGCCAGGUGCUGGGGAUGCAAUGGUAAAGGAACAGACCUGGCAAUAUUCCUCAUGGAGCUUGUGGUCUAGGACUGAAUGGGUCCCGUCAAUUUCAAAUAACAGCCAUGCUUGUUAUAAAUGAUGAUAGAUUUUCUACUCAAAAGAAACGAGUGUAGUUUAUUUCCACUUCUGUGGCUUCUAGAACUUUUUCCAUAAUGUAACCCUGAAGGAGAGCAUUAUAUUCAAAUUGGGGAUGAUGUUUUAAAUUAUUUUUAGCCCCAGUCCCAUCCUAUUAGUAUAAAUGGUUGAGACUGUGGUGUUUCCAUUUCCCUAGUGUAUAUUAUGUGCUUCCUGGUGACUUUCUAAGUCAAGAACUGUAAUUGCCCAGGGAGCAUGAUUACAUUCUCAGUGCUCUACUUUAACACCCUCACUUUUUCAUACAUUCAUGAAUCAAGCCUUAAGCUCCUACUAUGUGGGGCUUUAGGGGUGAUGAAAGCAUAAUUUCAUCAGCUUAAACUCUAGUGAGGAAAACAGACCUGACAUAUGCAACAAAUUAUAAUGCCAAGUAAUAAGUUCCAAAGGCCAGAUAUCUCACUGUCACUGGAGAUGUCAUCUCAUUAGAGAUGUCUCUUUCUAAAAUGCAAAUUUCACCUUCUUCAAAUUUACAACUUUCAUGAUCAAAUUCAAAUUCCUUGACAAGGAAGUCAGGAUCUAGGCUCAGCCUCACCCUGCAGCCCUGUUUUCUGCCUAUCACAUGGGCAUCUUCUGUUCCAGCUGAACACAUGACUGCAGAUACCCCUAUACCUGUCUUUCAAGUUCACGCCUCUAUCUUCUUAAACUCAGGACUCUAUGUCUAGAAUGCACAACUAACCUAAUUCUAUGCAGCCUUCAAAACUCAGAGAAAGCAUUAUUUUCUCUACAGAAUUUCUUCUCUCCACCUCUAUCCCUUACAAUCCAUGUUAGAUAUCCCGCCUCCAUGCACAGAAGCCUCUAUCCACCUAUCACAACACUUAUCUCACUGUAUUACAAUUGUUGGUCUGCUUUUCCAUCUCCUCCAAUGGAUUGACAAUAAGCACUUUGGGGUAAGAGGCUAUGUCUUACAAAUAAAUAGAUUAGUAUUAUGGGAGUACAUAUAAUUGAUAAAAAAAUGAACGGAUAAAUAUUAUAGGAGCACAGAAGAAAAAGUCAUUAUCCUGGCUGAAAAACAGCAAGAAAGGUGAUACUCUAAUAUUAUCGAAGAAGUGGUAUUUAAACUUGUCCUUGAGGGAUGAGUAGGAAUUUUCCAGAUGAAUGCACAAUUUCCUUCUCAUUUGCACAAACAAAUUAAGAUAAUGCUAAAUUAAGUAUAUUAGAAAUUUUGAUGCAUGUAGAAGACUAGGGCUAAAAUGUAGGUAAUGGUAAGUAGUACAUUUAUUUGUAAUAUACAUGGACAUAAUGUUUUGCAUGCCUGCUUAAUUAUACCAUGUUCACUAUACAAGUCAUCUUGCUUGCCCUGAAUAAACCAGUUCUAAUUUCACUUUAUUCCUGACUAUGUAAAUCCAAUUAAAUAGCUAUUCUUUCUAGGAAUACAGCUUUCAAAUUUUAAUAGGGUUAUUUAAAAAAUAAACUAAAUUUCAUGAUAACCUGUAUACUAUAUGCAUGAG
rnacentral:lncRNA from 1 species